rnacentral:rRNA from 1 species
CCUACGGGUGGCAGCAGUGGGGAAUAUUGCACAAUGGGGGCAACCCUGAUGCAGCAACGCCGCGUGCGUGAAGAAGUAUUUCGGUAUGGAAAGCUCUAUCUGCAGGGAGGAAGAUGACGGUACCUGAUUAAGUAGCCCCGGCUAACUACGUGCCAGCAGGCGCGGUAAUACGUAGGGGGCAAGCGUUAUCCGGAUUUACUGGGUGUAAAGGGAGUGCAGACGGCAGUGCAAGUCUGGAGUGAAAGCCCGGGGCUCAACCUCGGAACUGCUUUGGAAACUGUGCGGCUAGAGAAUAGGAGGGGCAGGCGGAAUGUAUGGUGUAGCGGUGAAAUGCGUAGAGAUCAGGCGGAACACCGAUGGCGAAGGCAGCCUACUAAGCUGCAACUGACGUUGAGGCACGAAAGCGUGGGGAGCAAACAGGAUUAGAUACCCUAGUAGUC